rnacentral:rRNA from 1 species
GUCGGGUGUGAAAUCUCGGAGCUUAACUCCGAAACUGCCAUUGAAACUAUGUGUCUUGAGUACAUUUGAGGCGGGCGGAAUGUGUCAUGUAGAGGUGAAAUUCUUAGAUAUGACACAGAACACCAAUUGCGAAGGCAGCUCGCUAAACUGUAACUGACGCUGAGGCACGAAAGCGUGGGGAUCAAACAGG